UCCAAAUAUUUGUUUUUUUUUGGGUGAUUGGUUUUUUGAGAUUUAUAUCUGUAGCUUUUUUAUUCAUUUGCAAUGAAACUGCAGUACGAAAUCUCAUCUUGGUCAUGUCUAUUGUUUAAGGAAUCUAUUUAUGUCCUAGGUCUGUGAGAAAUGCGUUGGAGAAAGAGCAAGCUCCUAAUUGAUGCAGAGAUUGAACUAUUGCAACGAAGACAUAUAUGUCACAGCUGUACAUGGAAAGGAAGUUCCAAAAUCUAUCUUAGAAGCAUCUGAGACUGCGUUUGACCCAGGCCACCAGAUAUCUAAACGCUCUAGAAGGAUAAAUUAUGGAAAUGCGGUUACUCUGGAAGUUUUUGGCUCCACAUCAAUAUGACAGUUAAAAAUGAUGAUACGGGAAUCUCUAGGGUUUGUGAAAGAAAACCAAAAAUUUCACAAAGAGCACACAAAAAUAGAAGGGGAAUCUUCUACUCUUGCAGAUUUUAACAUAUGUCUGGCGAUACACUUUGGGUGAGGGAUUCAAAGAUCCAUGAGGAUCAAGAUAUUGCUGAUGACAUAUCAACUCAGAAAAUGGAUGUGGAACAUGCUGAUUCGUCGUACACUUUUGACUACUGAUUUCCCUUCAUAAGUUUGGAGAAGCUGGCUCUUGUUAUAUUUGUGGAAACUCUGGUUGUCAAACAUGAAGGUCUUCUCCUUGUAAAUCUCAUUGGUAAAUUUACAACGCUAUCUUUGCUUAAGGGUUUUUUGUGCGGCUGCUGCUUCGAGUUCAUGACAUCGGUUUUACGUUUUACCCUAGAUGUAGACUAAGUGAUAUUCUAGUUAGCAAUUUGA